AAGUCGUAACAAGGUUUCCGUAGGUGAACCUGCGGAAGGAUCAUUAAUAAAGUUAACCUAUCGUUAUGGGUUUCUUUAACUCAUAUCAACCUUGUGUGAACUAAAAAUCGUACCUGGCAGUUCUAAGCUUUUGGCUUAGGGAGUUUUUGCUUAAAGAAUUCGGGUUAAGAAAGGUUAGACUUCGGUUUAACCAAGUAUUAGUCUGAGAUCUUAAAGCUUUAAGCACCUUAGGUCCUUAGCUACCUGCCAAAAGUUAAACCUUAGAAAUUUUUAUUAGAUAUUUCUUAAGUUUUUUAAACUUAAUUAAUAACAACUUUUGACAACGGAUCUCUUGGCUCUC
rnacentral:misc_RNA from 1 species